rnacentral:rRNA from 1 species
UUCUUUGGGCCUAACCUGCCAGGUCGAGCGGGAGACAGGGGAGCGUGCUCUAUGGGCGGCAGAGGGGGAAGGAAAAAGAUGACUGGGAUGUGCCUGAGGGAGGGGGAUUCCUACUGGACGCGGUACCGAUACCGCAUAACGGCAAAGGACCAGAGAGCGGGAACCUCUGGCCUCACGCAAUCAGAUGUGCCCAAAUGGGAUUAUGGAGAAGGUGGGGUACUGCCUGGCCAAGAUCACGAUCCCUACCUGGACUGAGAGGAUGACCACUGGCACUGAAACUGAGACCCGAUCCCUACUCCAAGGGGAGGCAGCGAAGGGUGAUAUUGGACAAUGGGCGUGAGCCUGACGUGCCCCUGGCGCGAGGGAGAACAACGCAUUAUGGUUGUAUUGCACUUUCAACGAGGAGGAAUGGUAUUGUGCUAAUAGCACAUUGCAUUGACGAUACUCGAAGAACAGGCACCGGCUAACUCCGUGCCAGCAGCCGCGGUAAUACGGAGGGUGCAAGCGUUAAUCGCAAUUACUGGACGUAAAGCGCACGCAGGCGGUUUGUUAAAUCAGAUGUGAAAUCCCCGCGCUUAACGUGGGAACUGCAUUUGAAACUGCUAAGCUACAGUCUUGUUGGUGGGGUAGAAUGCCAGGUGUAGCGAUGAAAUGCGUAGAGAUCUGAACGAUACCGGAGGGCGAGGCGGCCCCCUGGACAAACACUGACGCUCAGGUGCGAAAGCGUGCAGAGCAAAUAGAUUACAUACUCUGCCACGCCACACUGUAUGCCAUGUCGACUUGGAAGUUGUGCCCAUGAAGCGGGCUUCUGAGCUAUCGCGUUGAAAUCCACCGCCUGUCGAGUCCCGCCGGUAAGACUCAAACUCAUUGAAUUGACCCCGCCCCGCGGAGCAGCAGGAGCAUGUAGUUUAAUUCAAUGCGACGCACAUUACCUUACCUACUCUUGACAUCAAUUUAACUUAUCAUGAAAUGGAUUCGUCCCUUACGCUAACUUCUGAGACUGCUGCGGCAUGGCUUGUCGUCAGUCGUGGUAAUGUAAUGGUUAGGUUCACAGUACCCGCACCAACCCCAUAGCCCUUUAUCCUUUUCUGUCUCCAUCUAAUUCCGUCCGUCUAACUCGAAAGCUGACCUUGCCGAGUAACUAAACCGGAAGGUAAGGGUAGGAAAUUAAAGCUCAAUCUCCUCCCCUGGUCUAU